GGAGGGGUGGCAGAGUGGUUGAAUGCACCGGUCUUGAAAACCGGCAUACCGCAAGGUAUCGUGGGUUCGAAUCCCACCCCCUCCG
rnacentral:tRNA from 1 species